GAUGAACGCUAGCUAUAGGCUUAACACAUGCAAGUCGAGGGGAAACGGCAUUAUGUGCUUGCACAUUCUGGACGUCGACCGGCGCACGGGUGAGUAUCGCGUAUCCAACCUUCCCUCCACUCGGGGAUACCCCGUUGAAAGACGGCCUAAUACCCGAUGUUGUCCACAGAUGGCAUCUGACGUGGACCAAAGAUUCAUCGGUGGAGGAUGGGGAUGCGUCUGAUUAGCUUGUUGGUGCGGGUAACGGCCCACCAAGGCGACGAUCAGUAGGGGUUCUGAGAGGAAGGUCCCCCACAUUGGAACUGAGACACGGUCCAAACUCCUACGGGAGGCAGCAGUGAGGAAUAUUGGUCAAUGGACGCAAGUCUGAACCAGCCAAGUAGCGUGCAGGAUUGACGGCCCUAUGGGUUGUAAACUGCUUUUGUUGGGGAGUAAAGUGAGGCACGUGUGCCUUUUUGCAUUUACCCUUCGAAUAAGGACCGGCUAAUUCCGUGCCAGCAGCCGCGGUAAUACGGAAGGUCCAGGCGUUAUCCGGAUUUAUUGGGUUUAAAGGGAGUGUAGGCGGUCUGUUAAGCGUGUUGUGAAAUUUAGGUGCUCAACAUCUACCUUGCAGCGCGAACUGGCGGACUUGAGUGCACGCAACGUAUGCGGAAUUCAUGGUGUAGCGGUGAAAUGCUUAGAUAUCAUGACGAACUCCGAUUGCGAGGGCAGCGUACGGGAGUGUUACUGACGCUUAAGCUCGAAGGUGCGGGUAUCGAACAGG
rnacentral:rRNA from 1 species